rnacentral:rRNA from 1 species
GUGGGGAAUUUUGGACAAUGGGCGCAAGCCUGAUCUAGCGACGCCGCGUGGAGGACGAAGGCCUUCGGGUUGUAAACUCCUUUUGGAGGGGAAGAAUAAAUUGACGGUACCCUCAGAAAAAGCCACGGCUAACUACGUGCCAGCAGCCGCGGUAAUACGUAGGUGGCGAGCGUUACUCGGAAUUACUAGGCGUAAAGCGUAUGUAGGUGGUUAGAUAAGUCUAUGGUGAAAUUUCCUGGCUUAACUGGGAAGGGACAUAGAUACUAUCUGGCUUGAGUGUGGGAGGGGGAGACGGAAUUCCUGGUGUAGCGGUGAAAUGCGUAGAUAUCACGCAGAACUCCGAUUGCGAAGGCAGCUUACUAAGCUACAACUGACACUGAAGCACGAAAGCGUGGGGAUCAAACAGGAUUAGAAACCCUAGUAGUCC